rnacentral:rRNA from 1 species
UACGUAGGGUGCGAGCGUUAAUCGGAAUUACUGGGCGUAAAGUGUGCGCAGGCGGCCUAGCAAGUCGAGUGUGAAAGCCCCGAGCUUAACUUGGGAACUGCGCUCGAAACUACUUGGCUAGAGUGUGGCAGAGGGAGGUGGAAUUCCACGUGUAGCGGUGAAAUGCGUAGAGAUGUGGAGGAACACCGAUGGCGAAGGCAGCCUCCUGGGCCAACACUGACGCUCAUGCACGAAAGCGUGGGGAGCAAACAGG